rnacentral:tRNA from 1 species
GCAGUGGUGAUUCAGUGGCAGAAUUCUUACUUUCCAUGCAGGAUACCUGGGUUCGAUUCCCGGCCAAUGUA